CAAUAGCGUAUAUUAAAGUUGUUGCAGUUAAAAAGCUCGUAGUUGGAUUUCUGGUGGGAGCGAUCGGUCUGGCGCUUAGCGCGAGUACUUGCAUCGUCUCCGGCCAUCCUUGGGGAGAGUCUGUCUGGCAUUAAGUUGUCGGGCAGAGGAUCCUCAUCGUUUACUGUGAAAAAAUUAGAGUGUUCAAAGCAGGCUUAUGCCGUUGAAUAUAUUAGCAUGGAAUAAUAAGGUAGGACUUUGGUACUAUUUUGUUGGUUUGCGCACCAAAGUAAUGAUUAAUAGGGACAGUUGGGGGUAUUCGUAUUCCGUUGUCAGAGGUGAAAUUCUUGGAUUUACGGAAGACGAACUACUGCGAAAGCAUUUACCAAGGAUGUUUUCAUUAA
rnacentral:rRNA from 1 species